GCCAGCCAUGCUAUCCUGAACAAGCCUGAUCCCGCCUGAUCUCAGAAGCUAAGAAGGGUCAGGCCUGGUUAGUACUUGUAUGGGAGACCACCUAGGAAGACCAGGUGCUAUAGGUG
rnacentral:rRNA from 1 species